ensembl:lncRNA
GUGGAUUCUUCACCACUGAGCCACCUGAGAAGCCCAGGUAAGAAAAUGAUGGUGUUAUAAUUUAGAGAUUCAACGAUGGAUCAGCUUUCUCCAUCUGCCAGCUGGUAUUGGGGUCAGGGUGUAUUAAAUAGGAAGAUUAAAUGUUUUCGUAUUGGGGGUGAUACCCAAAAAACUUCCUGUUUGCACCCUAAUGGGCUACCCCCAAAUAAGAGGGUUGCAGAAAGUGAGAAUACCUGACAGUUUCCAAAGGGGGAUGACAAGAUCUUGGACACUACUCUCAAAGGCACAUUGUCCGAAAAGAAGAAUUAUGGGGCCUAAAGGCAUGGGGAGAAGCUCUGCUCUUCUACUCAUGGUUAUGACAGUGACCCAAACCAGCAAGAGAUAGUUAUAGAAGAUGGACCUUCACCCCUAAUUGCCCCUCAAGAAGGAAGAAUAAGACACAGGGCCAAGGAAGGAUUAAAACUCAUUAUCAGGUCCUGGGAAAUAGAAUCUGAUAAUAAAAUCGAAUCGUUUUUUCCUUUGUGCUUAGUUUCACUUGAUCGAAGGGUACUGCGUGCAGCGGCCUUCUACCCAGCAAUUCAGAUGAGAGUUCCUAGUGUGAAGCGGCUGCACCUGAUACUUGAGCUUGGCGUAGGUCUUGCAGAAGCUCUGCGCAUGACACCAGGGAUCGGCAGACCAAUGCGCGCCCAGCACGGUGAUCUGAGGCUUGAGCAGUGACACAGACGCUCACGCACACGCACACGCACACGCACACGCGCACACCCUCAGACGCACAAGAGCUCCGCCCCUUUCCGCUGACAGAAACAUAAAACCUUGCGUUUGGCUAUUACCUGUGUUCUUUCCUGAGGAGCCUGGGGUCUCGCACCUCUCCAUUCUUUGAUGAAGAACGAAACUUUCCUUCACUUCCGAACCGAACUCGGCCUGGACUGUGAGAAGUGGGGACCCCUACACCCUGUUUCUUCCUUCAGGAGUCUACAAAUUCUAACCACAUCCUCACUGAAGAUACAACUGGGAAAGAGCUGCUCUGUCUAGAAACCUAUCUUCGUUCAUUUGUUGGUACUGCUUCAUGCAGGUGGCAUAAGAAGACUCCUGAGAGUCCUUUGGAUGGCAAGGAGAUCAAACCAGUCAAUUUUAAAUGGAAUGAGCCCUGAAUAUUCAUUAGAAGAACUGAUGCUGAAGUAGAAGCCAACUGAUGCGAGCAGCCGACUCUUGGAAAAGACUCUGAUGCUGAGAAAGAUUGAGAUUCCCUGGAGCACAGAGAACCUCAGUUCAGUUCAGUCACUCAGUCAUGUCUGACUCUUUGAGACCCCAUCGACUGCAGCAGUUGUCCAUCACCAACUUCCAGAGCUUGCUCAAACUCAUGUUCAUUGAGCUGGUGAUAUCAUCCAACCAUCUCAUCCUCUGUCAUCCCCUUCUCCUCCUGCCUUCAAUCUUUCCAAGCAUCAGGGUCUUU